rnacentral:rRNA from 1 species
AUGAAGAGGAAGCCCGUCGUGAUCUGCUGCAGCGUGCUGCUCGCCCUCAUCCUCGUCCUCGCCAUCGUCUUCGUCGCGCUCUACUUCACCGUGUUCCGGCCGCGCGCGCCGCACGUGGUGGCGACGGUGGUGAGCACGACGUUUACUCAAUUCGACGUGACCUCCUUCCCGCCCAAGGUCAACAUGAGCUUGGGCGUGGACGUGACCGUGAAGAACCCCAACUACGCGGCGUUCCGUUACGGCGACGUGGUGACGGAGCUGACGUACUACGGCUCGCCCGUGGGGCAGUCAGUGGUGCUCGCGGGGGAGGUCGGCGCGCGAACGACACAGACCGUCGGCGGGACGGUAGUGCUGCAGGCGGACAAGGUUGUGUUCACGCCCCAAUUCGUCCAGGAACUGGCUUCCAAGUUGCUCGACCUGCCGGAUUUCAUGCUGCCGUUCCAGACGAGGACGACGGUGGCCGGGAAGGCCGUGGUGCUGGGGACGUUAAAAAUCAGGGCCAGCUCGGCGGUGACUUGCAGCAUCACCACCUACCCUCUCAAGCAGGAGACCACCUCCGACUGCACGUCCACGGUUAAUGUCGGUUAA